rnacentral:lncRNA from 1 species
CAAAGGAGCCUUGUCAGUCACAGCUGUAUCUUCAAGUCUGGAGAGAGUGUUCGAGUUCACUGAGAACAGGGAACUGGGCGUUGGGCUGGCACCGUGGAGCUCCUGCUGUUCUCGUCACAGUGGUCUCAGUGCAGUGGUGGGGACUGAACCCAGCAGCAGUGGGUUGAGGUGAGACUAGAAUGUGGAGACAGCAACUAGCUCAGGACACACUUCUGUGAAGGGCAGCGGAGAAACAGGGUGGAGGUGGAGAAGAAUGUUGGUCCAGCCUCGAGCCACAAGAACACCAUCAUGAGGGAGCCCAACCCAGAGUCUGGAGGGGAAUGUGUGUGCCUCACCCGUGAGUCCCCUGCACCUGCCGACAGACCGAGUCAGACCCACACGGGCCAAAGGAGGAAAGGCUGUGCCCCUCGUGGGCCUCCUGGGGCACCUGGCCUGCCCUGCCUCGCUGCUCGAGGCUUGGAUGCUUCCACGCACACCAUCAUGCGCCACACUUGCAAGGCCGCCAGCGCCCAGGAAGAUUCCCUGGGAAUCAGGAGGGAGCUGCCCAUGCGCCUGAAUGUGCUCGCUGGUUGUGCCAGCAGGAGGCAGCGUCACCCACAGCUCUGCUGUGGGGUUUGCGGAAUUGUGAUUCUCCUGGAACCAAGUUCCCUCUGCAUAAACGUUGCCUGGAAGCCACUGCCAAAGGAGAACUUUCAGGCACCGAACAGAGGACAAGGCUGUAUUGGGCGGCUCUUGAUGGAACCUCUGGCCGAGCGCCUACCCCUGGGGCCCUGGAGAGCCUGCCUGGUGUGCACAGAACCCAGCAGACCUGGCAUCUCUCGUUCAGUGGCACUCAGGGUUCUGUGCCCAGAUCUGGUGCUCCCUGUCUUACAGCUGCCUGGCACUGGAGCUGUGCUCCAGCCCAGAGCCUCAUUUUCAUUUAAAACUCUCUUUUGUCACCCCCUCAGCUGAGGAGGCCUGUCAGCGAGGAAAGAAAAUGUGGUUCACAGUUCGGAAGGUUUCCUCAUCAGUCAUCAAUUCAACGUGAUACAAAUAGGGCCUGAGACUGGGUGUUGGGAAAGCUUGCCUUUGCCACAUCAGUCACCGCAGGGUCUGAUGCCAGAACAGUUCUGAGACUGAAGCCACCCUGUGAGGACAGGCAUAAUCCUGCACCAUCCCCAGCAAAUUGGAACACAUGGAACAGAAGGAACACUAGUGGCAUGUUUGGGAUUCUGCUUGUGUCAGCUCCUGGGGUCCCUUCAUGUUCCACAAGCACUCUACCUGGUCUGGAGGUGCUGGAGCCAGCUUCUUGCUUCUGGAGCAUCAGAGCUGGGUCUUCACAUUCUUCACUUUGCAGGUGCCCCGGGCACAGCCUCCGAGGGCCUGGGCCCUGUCCUCUGACUGCCUUGGGGAGUCUGCCGUCCUCCAACACUCUGCUCAUUGAAUGCUGGCCAGUCUGUCUGUGAGCAUUUGGAAGGGCUCGGGAGGGGCGCUCUGUACCCCUCUGUCUCUGUUCUCCGUCUGUGAUGACUUCCCAAGGUCCCAGGCUUAAUACUAGCGCAGGAAAGAAUCCGAGACAUCCUGUUGGAAAGAACCAGCUUAACUUUCUUUACUGCAAAUUUUUCACACAUAUUUGGUCACAGACACCCCACCCACUGUUCUGGUAUAACACCAUUCCUUUUUUUUUUUUUUUUUGAGGAAGAUUAGCGCUGAGCUAACAUCUGCCACCAAUCCUCCUCUUUUUGCUGAGGAAGACUGGCCCUGAGCUAACAUCCAUGCCCAUCUCCCUCUACUUUAUAUGUGGGACACCUGCCACAGCAUGGUUUGACAAGUGGUGUGUAGGUCUGUACCUGGGAUCUGAACUGGUGAACCCCGGGCCGAUGAAGUGGAGCAUGUGAGCUUAACCACUGUGCCACUGGGCCAGAUCCCCCGCCCCUUUUUUUUUAAAGCAGUAAAAUCCCCAUUCAAACCAAUGAUUCUGUGGUAUUUCAAUAAAUAAGACUGAUAGAAGGUGUAUUUGUUAGAA